GUAGGUGGCAAGCGUUGUCCGGAAUUAUUGGGCGUAAAGCGCGCGCAGGCGGUUCUUUAAGUCUGAUGUGAAAGCCCACGGCUCAACCGUGGAGGGUCAUUGGAAACUGGAGAACUUGAGUACAGAAGAGGAAAGCGGAAUUCCACGUGUAGCGGUGAAAUGCGUAGAGAUGUGGAGGAACACCAGUGGCGAAGGCGGCUUUUCUGGUCUGUAACUGACGCUGAGGCGCGAAAGCGUGGGGAGCAAACAGGGAUUAGAUACCCUGGUAGUCCACGCCGUAAACGAUGAGUGCUAAGUGUUAGGGGGGUUUCCGCCCCCUUAGUGCUGCAGCUAACGCAUUAAGCACUCCGCCUGGGGAGUACGCCGCAAGGCUG
rnacentral:rRNA from 1 species